GCCCCGGUAGCUCAGUAGGAUAGAGCAAUCGCCUCCUAAGCGAUAGGUCACAGGUUCGACUCCUGUUCGGGGCGCCA
rnacentral:tRNA from 2 species